GAGAUAAUAAGCAUUCAAGUGC
rnacentral:siRNA from 1 species